GUGAAUCAUCGAAUCUUUGAACGCACAUUGCGCCCUCUGGUAUUCCGGGGGGCAUGCCUGUUCGAGCGUCAUUACAACCCUCAAGCUCUGCUUGGUAUUGGGCCUCGCCGGUUCCGGCGGGCCUCAAAGUCAGUGGCGGUGCCAUCCGGCUUCAAGCGUAGUAACACUCUCGCUUCUGGAGACCCGGGUGCGUGCUUGCCAGCAACCCCAACUUUCUAAGGUUGACCUCGGAUCAGGUAGGGAUACCCGCUGAACUUAAGCAUAUCAAUAAGCGGAGGA
rnacentral:misc_RNA from 1 species